UCCUGGUACAGUGGUGCAUGCCUGCAGUGCAAGCUACUCAAGAGGCAAACUGGGGAGGAUUGCUUGAGGCCAGAAAUUCUGGGCUGUAGUGCGCUGUACUGAUCAGUUGUCUGCAGUUAGUUCAGCACUAAUAUGGUGACCUUUUGGGAGUGGAAGCCACCAGGUUGUCUAAGGGGGGUGAACUGGCCGAGGUCCAAAAUGGAACAGGUAAAAACUCCCACGCUAGGCUGGGCGUGGUGGCUCACACCUAUAAUUCUAGCACUUCGGGAGGCCGAGGCAGGCGGAUCACUUGA
ensembl:misc_RNA Metazoa_SRP Metazoan signal recognition particle RNA